AUAAAGGACUUGUCUAGGGGAGAGCCUAUGGAUCUGAGAACGCUGUCUGGGCUUGGUACCAAGAGCUGGUAUUUCACAGCAGCGACCGCCUCACAGACGAGCUGUGGGAAGCAGGAGGGAGACUCUCUCUUAGGGUGCCACUACUAUGGAGACACAGCUGGGCUGAACAAGAUUUGCUUCAAACGACAACAAGAGAGACAGAAAGUAUCUGGUUCAACCGCUGCCCGAGCAGGCAGGCACCAGAAGAGCUAGCAGCCAAUCCGGCCAUGCUCGAAGCCAGCUCUGCAGCUCAGCCAAUCAGUGACAUCAUUGCUUUCUUUAGCUUGCCCAUGGUGAUGUGAAGAUGAGAAGAAAUAGCAAGGCCCAACCAGUUCUUCAUCUGGAGACAGUUCAACGUUCUGCAAACCAGAUCUUCAGGAAUUUUACUGGGAUAAUUAUCCAAAUAAAUUGCAAGCAUUCUAUCCAAAUGGACAUCCAUAAAAAUUCAUCAGAGAGCAUUUUACUACUGAGCUGCAAAGGGAAAAACUUAAAAUGGAUAUGAAAAGUGAAGAAAGUGAUCAUAGGAGAAAACCAUUUCAGGUGUCUGAUGAUUUGUGAGCCUCAAGUGACUACUCUGUGGAAUCAUCUGUCCUUGCCUUUGAAUUAGCUUUCCCUAGGCCAUGAGUCAACAUUAGUAGUUUAUACAUCCAAAUUGAUGACAAGAGCACCUCAAAGGCAGCAGCCUCAAGGAGCAGCCAUGGCCCCAGACUUGUCGCACGGAUGCAGAAAACUUAAUGGAGGAGGCUGAGGUCAGAAUGGGAAGAGUUUUUAAAAAAUAAAAAGGGGAGCUAAUAUGUGAGGAACUGAUUGCUGUGCAUUAUUUUCCACUGAACAGACCUUCUUUUAACUUCUAAUCUCAAGCACAUAGCAGCUGUUGUUUUCAUAUUAAAGAUCAGUAAGUGUUUGUUGAAUGAAUGUAUAAAUUCUUCCCCAAUCUCUGUUCCAUGUAAUAAGAACUAAGUUAGCAUUCAAUUAUAAAGAGGACUUAGAAAGUCUGCAGACAUUUUUGAUCAAAAAUCCUUUUAACUGUCUUCUUAUGGUUCCCGGUAACACCUAAGCCCAAAAAACUCAGGUCAUUUCUUGCCUGUACUGUUGCAAUAGCCUCAUAAUAACUAGUCUUCUCCUUUAUCAACCACAGUCGUCUCCGCUACACAAAGAAGAGAGGGUGCUAAUCUAAAGUGUAAAUUAUUUUAAAUCAGCACCCUUCUUGUAAUUUCCCAGUGGUUUUUCCUGUCAUAAGAAUAACAUGCAAAAUUCCUUGCUUGCAAAGCCAGGUAUGACCUUGCCCCGUCUACCUUACUGGCAUCGUCUCUCAUGACUCUUCCCCUUUUUCACUCUCCAUCUUGCCUUUUCCCAACCAUGCCUGCUAGUGAGCCUUAGCCCUUGUGUUUUCUCUGCCAGGGAUGCAUGACUGGCUUCUUUACUUUAUUCUGAUCUCUCUGCUCAAAUGUCAUCUUUUUAGAGAUAGCUUUCCUAAACAUCUUUAAAAGUACCCCAUGAACUGUGAAACACCUUUCCUGCUUUUUCUUCAUAGUACUUAUCACUUCCUGAUAUUAUGUUAGACAACAAGCAAAUAAGUAUAUGCUGUUCCCACUAAAAUAUAAGCUCCAUUUGAACAGGAGCCUUGAUUAUUCCUGAGUAUACCCCUAGUGCCCAGAACCUAGUAGGGCUUUAAUAAAUAUUAGAUUCAUUUGUUGAAUGAAAAAAUGAAUGAAUAAUUGAAUAAAGAUAUCCAGGUAGAGUGUCCGGGCAGCCCAACCUAUGUGAAGCCAGUACAAGAAUGUUUCUGUGACAUAGUGAGCGCAAUUAUUCCUCUAAAUGAUGAACUUGCAUGAGUACACAAGGAUAAAAUUAAGCACGUAGUUUAGAUUUCUGCAAGUCUCUUCCUCAGAUUGAGGAAAAACAAAGAAAUUGAGCUUAUUCUCACCUCAUUCUUACAUGAACUAAAUCCAGAAUAAAGCAUCAUUUAAAUACCAAGCACAUCCCUACCUCAGCCACUCAUGGAAUACUUUAUCUGUAAAGGGACAGAUAGAUAGUAAAUAUUUUUGGCUUUGGGGACCGUACAGUCUGUGUCGCCACUACUCAGCACUUCUGUUGAGGUGUGGAAUCAGCCCUAGACAACACAUAAACAAAUGGGUGUGGCUGUGUUCCAAUAAAAUGUUAUUUAUAAAACUAGGAAAUCAGCAGAUUUAGUCCACAGGCUGUAGUUUGCUGACCCUUGAAUUAGAGAGUCUUCCCCAAAUCCUCUUCCCAAGUUAUUGAAAGAAUGCCCAUAGGACCAUAGCUCCCUCACCUGGUUCUUUCAAGAAAUGAGACAAAUUCAGGGAUGGUUGGAGGGUGGAACGCCUACCUGUGACAUGACUAUUGAGCCUGAUUUCUUUCCUUUUAUCUCUUUAAAGUGAGUCAGGUCUUAACUUUAAACUGUCUCUAAAGUGGCAAUAACUGGGCCAUGUCAAAUACUCCCAAUGACAAAAUUUCUUCUUGGAGAAUGAAUGAGGGUUGCAUACAGUGGUGUGUUGGUAAAUGUUUAGCAACUGGCUCUCUUACUGAUUUCUGUAGUGUAAAUUCUCCCAUCCUGGCCAUCUGAAACUACCAAUAUGAUGUCACUUGAUGUAGAGUUGGGAAAAGACAGUCUCUUGAAUAAGUAUGAGCUGGUUCCAGCCCACUGCUGAACACAUAUUUAAAAGCUACAAUAGCUCUGCUCACUGCCAUUGCAGAGUCUGGAGGAAAGAGUAGCAGGCUUGAUAGGAGCAAUUGGCUGAAUAAUCUUUUGCAAUGCCAAUAAAUAAUGAAAAAGUAUAUAAAUAUAACGCUGUAUAGAAAGCUCUCAAGUUCAGUGUUUGGUUAAAAUACAUACUCAGUAAAUGGUAGCUAUUAUUGUCUUAGUUUAAGUUAUUGCAAGCAUUAAAAUUAAAUGUUUAGCUACAGACUCAAUCCAGUUUUAAUGUCAUUGUGUUAAUAAGGCCUCUUAACAUUGAAGCAACAAAGAUAAAGGAAUUUUUUUGUAGCUAUUCACGAUUCUGCCCAGCUCAAGGUAAAGAUAGCAACAAAAUACUCCAACCAGAAUAAAAGAAGUCUCCACUUGACUGCAGCUCUUCGCAACACUUCACAAGGGUCAAGCUGUGUUAGUUUCCUUCAGUGUUAAACAGAAUGCAUCUUAAGAGAAUAGUUCAAUUAUUGAUUGAAUAGUAGGUUCAAGUUGACUAUAAUCCCAACUAAUACACUCUAAGACCAGGGAUGGGCCGACAGAAGGGUAAAGUUUUCCACUCAAGUCUCGAGGCAAACACUCAGAUAGAAGUAGUAAUAUGGAUGCCUUCUAUUAUUUGGUCACAUACAAUACUGUUCCAGCCCAGUUGUGCAAAACUGGUGAAAUAAAAGGCAAAAAUAUUGACAACAGUUUGGGUAACUGGAUUCCAAAAUGGGCAUCCAUCUAAGAGAAAUUAAUGAAAAAAAAGCAUAUGGACCUUGAAAUACAUUAAUACACAGUUUAGGUUUAAACACUCAGUUUUUAUUAGAAAAGACUAACUUAUCCUGUUUUGAACACUACAAAAGUGCUUUCUGAACCAUUUACUCUCAAACCUCCUCCACCCAUUCCCCUCCAUCUAUAACGCUUUCUGCACAUCUGUAAAAGGUAUGACUUAGUGUUUGGUCUGUGAAAUAAGGUUAAAAAGGAAGCAUUUCUUUUUACAUUCUAGCUAAUGUUGAUAUUUUUCUCAUGCUUCUAUUAGCACAUAAUUCAGAUACAUUAGUUUUGAAGUUUUGAAUCUUCUCUGCUUCUUGAGGGCUCUCUGUUCUAGAUCAACAUGAUCUGUGGAACACCAGCCAAGUCCUGGGCAGAACCCUCCCCGUUGUCCAAAUAUUACUGAAUCAGUUGAGUUUUCUCUGUUGUCAAUGAAUUAUUCCACAUGUUUCUUUGGCUACAUUUUUUUUGGCUUUCUGUUCACAGUAAAUAUAGCCUUUGUUUUUAAAAACUUCUAUUAUGAAAAUUCCAAAUAUAUGCAAAUUAGAGAGAAUAGCAUAAUGAACCUCUAUGUGCUUAUCACACAUAUAGGUUCAACUAAUUAAAUUAUAUCAAUUUAUGGCCAAUCUGGUUUCAUUUAUAACAUCAUUCGCUCAUUCCUAACUCCCUGGAUUAUUUGAUUGACAUGUUUCUAAAGUUCCUUUUAAUCUGUAGGUUCCCCCUCUCAUUUAAUCUUUUGCAACUUAUUCAUUGAUGAAACUGGGUUAUUUGUCCUUUAUUGUUUCUCUCAUUCUGAAAUAUGCUGUAAUGUCAUUAACCAUAUUCUUCUUUCCUGUAUUUUCUGUAAGCUUUGAGCUAGGCAGAAAUAUUUUAAUCAGAUUCCUUUUUUUUUCUUUUAGCAAGAUUUCUUCAUAAAUAAUAUUGUAUGUGUUCAUGAAAAUAGAAAUAAAAAUAGAAAUAAAGAAGAAAUAACAGAAAAAGGACAGAAAUUGUUAAAAUUUUUUUAUGAAAACAGAUAGUAAAUAACAUUGUAAUAAAUCCCAACAGAACAUAGAGAACCUGACUUUAUUGACGUUAGUGGGAGGAGGUUUGUGAUUUUAAAACUAUAUAUUAUGGUUAUGUCAUCUAAAAAUCAAAUAUUCAAGCACAUAUAUUAAAAUUAGUCAUCAUUACAUUUUUCCAAAAUAAAAAAUAAAACUAAACCAACAUUAACCAUCAGUGAUUCCAUCAACUGAGCAAGUUUGAGUAGCAUUACCCUAGUGAAUAUCAGACUAUCGAUUAUUCUAUUCAUGUACCUGAAAUUGGAUAACAGUAUGAAGAAUUUCCUGAACAAAUACAAGAUACAUAUUUAGACCUUCUCCAGUCUAGAGGAAUACUUGCUUCUUGUCAGAAUGAAGAAUGAGGAGUAUUGUUUUAGAACUGGACUUCUUUGAUGACCCUUAAGUAAACCAAUAUGGACCAGAUAACAGGAGCAUUUCAAAGCAUCAGAAUUUUGGGGGAUUCUUGUGGUGGAGCACAAUGAGGCAUUCCAGCCUACUCUAAGAAAAUAGUUCAUCCCUGUCAAUAUCCUGGGAAGCAGAGUUCAGAUAAAACUAUGAAGACACAAUGUAAAAUGUCAGUUGUCUUUGCAAAACAUUAAGUAUAUGUGUAUUCUUGGGAAUGGGGGGAAGUAUGUAAUUAUUUGUGGCUUUUCAAAAAUGAAUGGCUUUUGAAAAGCCACCUCUGUAGUGCCUUUUUGAUUCCUCUUACGAAAAAAACAAACCUGGAAAAAUUAGUAGUCUUUAAUUUAUAGUUAGUUAGCACAUUAUGACAGAACUUUAAUCUCAUAUCUCACUAGGUAGAAAUGAAAUAAUACAUUUUCCCAUUAUAUAUUGAUUGGAGUUAAUUAAAUAUAGUUAGUAUUCCAUUUACAUUGAUGCUUUUUGUUCAAAUCUAUGGUAUUAUGUAUAAAUAUGCCAAUUAUUCAGUAAAACAUCACUAAAAUUAAACCUAUAUUGUUAUGAAGCUGUUAGAAAAUAUCUUCUUUGAAUUCUGAGAGCUGUAUUAUAUUAGUUUAACUAGUUAUCUUGAAAUUCUGAAGUUCCUUGAAUCUAUUUUAAUUUUGUAUCAGGAAUUGGAGAGGUUUUUCCAGAAAAGUGUUACUUAAAUGCAUCAAAUGCAAUGUGGGAAUUUUGACCCACUUCUUGUAUUUCUAUUUUCCUGCUGUUUUUGCCCCCAGAGGAAGAAUAUAAACAUUUUGCUUAUUGUAACACAUUGCUUCAUUAUGAUAUAUUAUUGUUACCAUUUUUUUAAAAAAAGAAUGUUUCUAGGUUUUAAUUAAGCUCCUUCACCUAAUAUGUAAUUUUAAAGUUAUUAUUUCAUAUAAUAUCUAACUUGCCACAGUUAGGAACCUGGAGCAGACUGAACCUUUGGACAAAAUGAUGCCGUUAUUAUGAAAACAGAAAAGCAUAGACCAGGUGUGGUGGCAUAUGCCUAUAAUCCUAGCACUUUGGGAGGCUGAGGUGGUUGGAUCACUUGAGGUCAGGAGGUCAAGACCAGCCUGGCCAACACAGCAAAACCCCGUCUCUAUUAAAACUACAAAAAUUAGCCUGAAAUGGUGGUGGACACCUGUAGUCCCAGCUACUUUGGAGGCUGAGGCAGGAGAAUCGCUUGAACCCGGAGGCAGAGGUUGCAGUGAGCUGAGAUUGUACCACUGCACUCCAACCUGGGCGACAGAGUGAGACUCUGUCUCAAAUAAAUAAAUAAAUAAAUAAAUAAAUAAAUAAAAUCAUAGCUGUAGGCAACUUCAAGCUUAUAAUUUUGCAGAGCAAUAGCAGUAAGAUACUCUGUACAAAGUUAAGUCAAGGAUUAUUGCACAUCUCAUAUGAUGGGAUUCUUUUUUUAAAAGUUUUAUUUUAUUGUAGUAAGAAUACUUAGCAUGAGAUCUACACUCAACAGGUUUUCUAAGUGUACUGUUUAUUAUCACUGAUGAUAGGCACAACAUUGUACAGCAGAUUUCUAGAGUUUAUUCAUCUUGCUUAACUAAAACUUUAUGCCCAUUGAAUAGUAACUCCCCAUUUCCCCUUUCCCCCGCUUCUGACAACACGAUUACCCUUUGGUUCUACAAAUUUGACUAUUUUAGAUACAUCAUGUAAGCGGAAGCAGAAAGUGUUUGUCUUUCUUUGACUAGCUUAUUUCACUUAGCAUAGUGUCGUCCAGGUCAUCAAUGUCAUCCCACACUGCAGAAUCGCCUUUUUUUUUUUUAAUGGCUAAAUAGUAUUUCAUUGUGUAUACGUUUUUUUAUCCAUUUCACCUAUUGAUGGGCAUUAAGGGUGUUUCCACAUCUUGGCUGUUGUGCAUACUCCUGCAUUGUGCUAUUCAUGGGAGUGCUAAUAUCUCUUUGGGAUCUUGAUUUCAAUUCUUUUGGAUAUACAGCCAAAAGCGAUAUUGCUGGAUCAUAUGGUAACUUUUUUUUUCAAUAGUUUUAGGGGUACAGUGGUUUUUGGCUACAUGGAUGAAUUAUAUGGUGGUGCAGUCUAGGCUUUUAGUGUAUCUGUCACCUGAUUAGUGUACAUCGUACCCAAUAUGUAAUUUUUAACCCUCACUCCUCUAGUUUUAUUUAUAUAUAUAAAUACAAUUUUUUUGAAAUGGAGUUUCUCUCUUGUCACCCAGGCUGGAGUGCAAUGACGCAAUCUCAGCUCACUGCAACCUCUGCCUCCCAGGUUCGAGCGAUUCUCCUGCCUCGGCCUCCCGAGUAGCUGGGAUUACAGGCACCUGCCACCACGCCUGGCUAAUUUUUUUGUAUUUUUAGUAGAGAUCGGGUUUCACCAAUUUGGCUGGUCUCGACUCCUGGCUGGUCUCGACUCCUGACCUCAGGUGAUCCACCUACCUCGGCCUCUCAAAGUGUUGGAGUUACAAGCAUGGGCCACCGCACCCGGCCUAUUUAUAAUUUUUUGAGGAAACUUUGUACUUUUUCCCAUAGCUGUACCAUUUUGCAUUUCCACCUACAGUGUUCAAGAGUUCCAGUUUCUCCACAUCCUUACCAAUACUUGUCUUUUUUUUUUUUUAAUAGCCAUCCUGGCAGAUGUAAGGUGAUAUUUCAUCACAGUUUUGAUUUGCAUUUCCCUGAUAACUAAUGACAUUGGACUUUUUUUUAUAUAUCUGCUGGCCACCUGUAUGUCUUCUUUGGAGAAACAUCUAUUCAAGUUUCUAGUUCAUUUUUAAAUUGGAUUAUUUGCUUUUUGCUAUUGAGUUGUUUGAGUUCCUUAUCUAUUUUGAAGCUUAACCCUAUAUCAAAUGGGAUUCUUAUAUUUUUGUUUCAUAUUUUGUAAUAUAUCAGGUCCAUGAAAUUAGCUAUCUUAAGUAAGUUGCUUUUGUGUUGUUUCUUAUGACAAUUCUGAUUAGAAUAUUAAUACAAACGUGAAAUGCAGCUUUUACCAACAAAUGGGCUAGUUUUUAUUGAAUCAAUAAAACCCAUAUUUUGAGAGUUUUACUCAAAAGAACCUAAAAUUCAGUUGAAUAUAAAGAAAUGGGGUUGUUUGUUUUUUUCUUGUAAAUUUGUUUGAGUUCAUUGUAGAUUCUGGAUAUUAGCCCUUUGUCAGAUGAGUAGGUUGCGAAAAUUUUCUCCCAUUUUGUAGGUUGCCUGUUCACUCUGAUGGUAGUUUCUUUUGCUGUGCAGAAGCUCUUUAGUUUAAUUAGAUCCCAUUUGUCAAUUUUGGCUUUUGUUUCCAUUGCUUUUGGUGUUUUAGACAUGAAGUCCUUGCCCAUGCCUAUGUCCUGAAUGGUAAUGCCUAGGUUUUCUUCUAGGGUUUUUAUGGUUUUAGGUCUAACGUUUAAGUCUUUAAUCCAUUUUGAAUUAAUUUUUGUAUAAGGUGGGCGAAGGACAUGAACAGACACUUCUCAAAAGAAGACAUUUAUGCAGCCAAAAAAUACAUGAAAAAAUGCUUACCAUCACUGGCCAUCAGAGAAAUGCAAAUCAAAACCACAAUGAGAUACCAUCCCACACCAGUUAGAAUGGCAAUCAUUAAAAAGUCAGGAAACAACAGGUGCUGGAGAGGAUGUGGAGAACUAGGAACACUUUUACACUGUUGGUGGGACUGUAAACUAGUUCAACCAUUGUGGAAGUCAGUGUGGCGAUUCCUCAGGGAUCUAGAACUAGAAAUACCAUUUGACCCAGCCAUCCCAUUACUGGGUAUAUACCCAAAGGACUAUAAAUCAUGCUGCUAUAAAGACACAUGCACAUGUAUGUUUAUUGUGGCACUAUUCACAAUAGCAAAGACUUGGAACCAACCCACAUGUCCAACAAUGAUAGACUGGAUUAAGAAAAUGUGGCACAUAUACACCAUGGAAUACUAUGCAGCCAUAACAAAGGAUGAGUUCAUGUCCUUUGUAGGGACAUGGAUGAAAUUGGAAAUCAUCAUUCUCAGUAAACUAUCGCAAGGACAAAAAACCAAACACCGCAUGUUCUCACUCGUAAGUG
rnacentral:lncRNA from 1 species